UUUUGUGUAUUUGGACUUGGAAGCUGUUGGCGCAAGUCAACUCUUCUUAAAUAUAUUAGCUGGGGUUUAUAUAGUGGAUCCUUGGUGUGAUAAUUAUCUACGCCUUGAAGUCCCUGUAGACCUUGCUUCAAACCGUCUCAAUUAAGAGACAACUUGAAUCAUUUGGCCUCAAAUCAGGUAGGACUACCCGCUGAACUUAA
rnacentral:misc_RNA from 1 species